AAUGCAAGCUGUUCUAUCGCUGUAAGUAAUGCUUUUAGCAUCUUAAAGAGGAAAGUCCGGGCAACACAGAGCAUCUCGCUUCCUAACGGGAAGAGGUUUGGGAUUGAAGACCUGAAUUAUGGAAAGUGCCGCAGAAAAUAUACCGCCGAUGGCCUGUAAAGGGCACAGGUAAGGUUGAAAUCGCGAGGUAAGAGCUCACGAAUUUUCCAGGUGACUGGAAAGGCUGGUAAACCCCGGGAGUUGAAAGACCAAAUAGGCUGACGCAUGUAGGGCUGCUCGUCCGAUGUCAGUGGGUAGGUCGUUAGAGAUAAAUGGCAACGUUUAUAGUAGAUUAAUGGUAGAAGCCCUGAUUUAUCAGGGUACAGAACCCGGCUUACAGGCUUGCAUUUUUU
rnacentral:RNase_P_RNA from 1 species